AAUCUGCCCUUCACUCUGGGACAAGCCCUGGAAACGGGGUCUAAUACCGGAUAACACUUACCUCCUCCUGGGGGUUGGUUAAAAGCUCCGGCGGUGAAGGAUGAGCCCGCGGCCUAUCAGCUUGUUGGUGGGGUAAUGGCCUACCAAGGCGACGACGGGUAGCCGGCCUGAGAGGGCGACCGGCCACACUGGGACUGAGACACGGCCCAGACUCCUACGGGAGGCAGCAGUGGGGAAUAUUGCACAAUGGGCGAAAGCCUGAUGCAGCGACGCCGCGUGAGGGAUGACGGCCUUCGGGUUGUAAACCUCUUUCAGCAGGGAAGAAGCGCAAGUGACGGUACCUGCAGAAGAAGCACCGGCUAACUACGUGCCAGCAGCCGCGGUAAUACGUAGGGUGCGAGCGUUGUCCGGAAUUAUUGGGCGUAAAGAGCUCGUAGGCGGUCUGUCACGUCGGAUGUGAAAGCCCGGGGCUUAACCCCGGGUCUGCAUUCGAUACGGGCAGACUAGAGUGUGGUAGGGGAGAUCGGAAUUCCUGGUGUAGCGGUGAAAUGCGCAGAUAUCAGGAGGAACACCGGUGGCGAAGGCGGAUCUCUGGGCCAUUACUGACGCUGAGGAGCGAAAGCGUGGGGAGCGAACAGGAUUAGAUACCCUGGUAGUCCACGCCGUAAACGUUGGGAACUAGGUGUUGGCGACAUUCCACGUCGUCGGUGCCGCAGCUAACGCAUUAAGUUC
rnacentral:rRNA from 2 species